GCGAGGCGAGCUGACGGAGCAUGCCGCGUGGAGGAUGAAAGCCUAUGGGUUGUAAACUCCUUUUCUCAGAGAAGAAAUUUUGACGGUAUCUGAGGAAUAAGCAUCGGCUAACUCCGUGCCAGCAGCCGCGGUAAUACGGGGGAUGCAAGUGUUAUCCGGAAUAAUUGGGCGUAAAGCGUCUGUAGGUGGUUGACCAAGUCUGUUGUUAAAAAUCAGGGCUCAACCCUGAUCCGGCAACAGAAACUAGUAAACUUGAGUACGGUAGGGGCAGAGGGAAUUCUCGGUGUAGUGGUGAAAUACGUAGAUAUCGAGAAGAACACCAAUAGCGAAAGCACUCUGCUGGGCCGAAACUGACAUUGAGAGACGAAAGCUAGGGGAGCAAAAGGGAUUAGAUACCCCUGUAGUCCUAGCCGUAAACGAUGGAUACUAAGUGCUGUGCGACUCAAAACGUCCAGUGCUGUAGCUAACGCGUGAAGUAUCCCGCCUGGGGAGUAUGCUCGCAAGAGUGAAACUCAGAGGAAUUGACG
rnacentral:rRNA from 1 species